CGGGGUGGAGUAAUGUCUGGGAAACUGCCUGAUGGAGGGGGGUAACUACUGGAAACGGUAGCUAAUGCCGCAUAACGUCGCAAGACCAAAGAGGGGGACCUUCGGGCCUCUUGCCAUCGGAUGUGCCCAGAUGGGAUUAGCUAGUAGGUGGGGUAACGGCUCACCUAGGCGACGAUCCCUAGCUGGUCUGAGAGGAUGACCAGCCACACUGGAACUGAGACACGGUCCAG
rnacentral:rRNA from 1 species